AGGCAUGAGCCACCGCGCCCGGCUCUUACUUACAUUUCUAAGGCAAUUCAGUAAAGUUUGUAUUCUUUGUCAUGUAUGGGCAUUGAUGCCACUACGGUCUUCCCUGAGCUUGUGUACUAUCCUGGGAGUACACAUGGUCAUUUAGAUCCCUGAGAUUUUGUCAGAGCCAAGAGAACCACCAGACAAAUAAGAAAUGAUAAUAUUGGCUGGGUGCAGUGGCUCAUGCCUGUGGUCCCAGCACUUUGGGAGGCCAAGGCAGGUGGAUCACGAGGUCAGGGGAUCGAGACCAUCCUGGCUAACAUGGUGAAACCCUG
rnacentral:lncRNA from 1 species